GUUGUUGGCGCGCGGGUGGAAUCCAAAGUCUGAUCUAACGGCGCCAUACCGUGACCUUUGAUCUCGGAACAGACACAGUGACCUUAGCCUCUAUGCACUCCACCUCCGUCAGCCAGCAAGUGACGUAUGCCACACUGAGCAUGUUUAUGCGCUUUUGUCUGGUCAGGCAACCCUGGUAGCCUAUCUGGCCUUGGUCGGCCACAUUUCGGUCCCAGGAUGCUCUUUGAUAUCUACUCAGCACGCUCAACCCUUCAAGACCCUUGGCCUGGCCUUUUGACCUCAGGCGUUAGCGAGACCCGUCCUCCUCCUUUUUGCCGACAAACGUGUGAUAAAUCAAGUCUGCCCUGACACACACACACACACACACACACACACACACACACACACACACCCCAAUUAUCCCAGCGCCACAUCAUCACCCCACACCCCACACAUUAAUGAGCCCAGAGGUUAAAGGUUGUUGACAUUCCUCACACACUGCUGAACGCUAAUACUCGGCCCACACACCACACACAGCACGAACACACAGAGUGAGGUGGACGCUCUUCCGAAGUCGUUCAAAGUCAAACAAAGGCAAGCCCAAACUAAAUGUCGCUUUACUGUGUAGAAAGAAAGAACAAUCAAAUAUUUCAAUGCGCGUGGAGUAGAAAAAGUCUGCGGGCCAAGGUGCGGACAGGGCAGGCUUGGCUGACCAGAUGAAGAAUGCUCCCGCCAUGUGACGGAUAAUCAUUGUAUUCUUCUCGGCUGCAGUCUUGGCUCAGAGACAAACCGUCUGGCAAACAGACAGCUUCACAGCGCCGAGCUCAAUCAAACUGUCUGUACCCAACGAUGAACAGGGGAGAAAUGGGGCCCGAUGGCUGCACUCGCCUGUGCUACGCACCCUCUGCUGGCUCAAGAAAGUACAACACACUGUUCCACCGCUCUCCCUUGCCGACAGACGAAGUUGGCAACGCGUUCAAAGCGGAUGAGCUGUGCUGCACUCCUAAAACAAGCAAUCCAAUCCCCCAGGAGAGAUGUGUUUCUCACUAAGAACACAAAAGAGGAAUAAUGGCUGGAAAAGAUCUCA